GAUGAACGCUGGCGGCGUGCCUAAUACAUGCAAGUCGAGCGAACAGACGAGAAGCUUGCUCCUCUGACGUUAGCGGCGGACGGGUGAGUAACACGUGGAUAACCUACCUAUAAGACUGGGAUAACUUCGGGAAACCGGAGCUAAUACCGGAUAACAUGUUGAACCGCAUGGUUUAACAGUGAAAGACGGUCUUGCUGUCACUUAUAGAUGGAUCCGCGCCGCAUUAGCUAGUUGGUAAGGUAACGGCUUACCAAGGCAACGAUGCGUAGCCGACCUGAGAGGGUGAUCGGCCACACUGGAACUGAGACACGGUCCAGACUCCUACGGGAGGCAGCAGUAGGGAAUCUUCCGCAAUGGGCGAAAGCCUGACGGAGCAACGCCGCGUGAGUGAAGAAGGUCUUCGGAUCGUAAAACUCUGUUAUUAGGGAAGAACAAAUGUGUAAGUAACUAUGCACGUCUUGACGGUACCUAAUCAGAAAGCCACGGCUAACUACGUG
rnacentral:rRNA from 1 species